rnacentral:rRNA from 1 species
GACGAACGCUGGCGGCGUGCUUAACACAUGCAAGUCGAACGGAAAGGCCCUGCUUUUGUGGGGUGCUCGAGUGGCGAACGGGUGAGUAACACGUGAGUAACCUGCCCUUGACUUUGGGAUAACUUCAGGAAACUGGGGCUAAUACCGGAUAGGAGCUCCUGCUGCGUGGUGGGGGUUGGAAAGUUUCGGCGGUUGGGGAUGGACUCGCGGCUUAUCAGCUUGUUGGUGGGGUAGUGGCUUACCAAGGCUUUGACGGGUAGCCGGCCUGAGAGGGUGACCGGCCACAUUGGGACUGAGAUACGGCCCAGACUCCUACGGGAGGCAGCAGUGGGGAAUAUUGCACAAUGGGCGGAAGCCGGAUGCAGCAACGCCGCGUGCGGGAUGACGGCCUUCGGGUUGUAAACCGCUUUCGCCUGUGACGAAGCGUGAGUGACGGUAAUGGGUAAAGAAGCACCGGCUAACUACGU